UUGGCUAAUGUGUCUUGGCUAAUGUGUUUUGGCUAAUGUGUCUUGGCUAAGGUGUCUUGGCUAAGGUGUCUUGGCUAAGGUGUCUUGGCUAAUGUGUCUUGGCUAAUGUGUCUUGGCUAAGAUGUCUUGGCUAAGGUGUCUUGGCUAAGGUGCCUUGGCUAAUGUGUCUUGGCUAAUGUGUCUUGGCUAAGGUGUCUUGGCUAAUGUGUCUUGGCUAAUGUGUCUUGGCUAAGGUGUCUUGGCUAAUGUGUCUGGGCUAAUGUGUCUUGGCUAAUGUGUCUUGGCUAAUGUGUCUUGGCUAAGGUGUCUUGGCUAAGGUGUCUCGGCUUAUGUGUCUUGGCUAAUGUGUCUUGGCUAAGGUGUCUUGGCUAAUGUGUCUUGGCUAAGGUGUCUUGGCUAAGGUGUCUUGGCUAAUGUGUCUUGGCUAAUGUGUCUUGGCUAAGGUGUCUUGGCUAAGGUGUCUCGGCUAAUGUGUCUUGGCUAAGGUGUCUUGGCUAAGGUGUCUUGGCUAAUGUGUCUUGGCUAAUGUGUCUUGGCUAAGGUGUCUUGGCUAAGGUGUCUUGGCUAAGGUGUCUUGGCUAAUGUGUCUUGGCUAAUGUGUCUUGGCUAAGGUGUCUUGGCUAAUGUGUCUUGGCUAAUGUGUCUUGGCUAAGGUGUCUUCGCUAAUGUGUCUUGGCUAAGGUGUCUUGGCUAAUGUGUCUUGGCUAAUGUGUCUUGGCUAAGGUGUCUUGGCUAAGGUGUCUUGGCUAAGGUGUCUUGGCUAAGGUGUCUUGGCUAAGGUGUCUUGGCUAAUGUGUCUUGGCUAAUGUGUCUUGGCUAAUGUGUCUAAGCUAAUGUGUCCUGGCUAAGGUGUCUUGGCUAAUGUGUCUUGGCUAAGGUGUCUUGGCUAAGGUGUCUUGGCUAAUGUGUCUUGGGUAAGGUGUCUUGGCUAAUGUGUCUUGGCUAAUGUGUCUUGGCUAAGGUGUCUUGGCUAA